UCCCUGGUGGCUCAGACAGUAAAGAGUCUGCCUACAAUGCAGGAGACCCAGGUUCAAUCCCUGGGUUGGGAA
rnacentral:tRNA from 1 species